rnacentral:siRNA from 1 species
CGCAUGCGUCGCUUCUAGCC